GCUGGAAUACCCGACAUGGUAUUAAGAAUAUGUGCUGUCAAGGCAGGUCCUUGAGGUUGAGGAGGAUUACUAGCCAUUUUCUUUAUUCUACAGUAGAUGGUAGAAACAGGAAAUACGAUGAGUGCUAAAAAACUGUUCUCUUUUUAAGGAAACACGACAAUUGAUGUUGGACAGUUCAGUAUUGACUGGUAGAAUCCAGGUACACGUUUUGUAAGGAAAUGUUGUCCCUAAAAAUAGUCUCAAAUCAAGAGUUUGUCAAAAUAUAUAGUCUAUUUUUAACAAUAGAUGAUAUAUCAUAUACAAUACUAGGAGAUAGAAAAAUCUAAAAAAUUGGGAUCCCACAGUUAUUUUGGUAAUUCCGACAUCAAGGCUUCCGCUCGUAAUACCGCUUUUAUCGUCAAACCGGAAAUCUACGGUUGUGCUUUGUAUUACUUUAUGUAUGUUUAAGGAACCACGAUGUAUUUCAUUUUAGGAAAUACCGGACGAGGGUUAAAUAAAUAUAAACAGAUGAAACUACCUUGUUGGAGAAUUGAGACUAAGGAGGAUGAAUAACGCAGAGUGGUGUGGUUUGAUAUAAUUAUUUAAGGAAAUUCAAACAAACACAGUAAAAGUUGAUUUUCAUUAAUGGCUUUCUUAAAAAUAAUAAAACGGCGCGAGUAAUACCAGUUUAUAUGUUUGUUUGGAGAUCACCUCAAAAACUUUUAACUUCACUUAAACAUGAUGUUUUAUAAGCACUUGGAAACGAUUGCCUCUCAUUGUACACAUUAUCCAAGUGUUUAUGUGGGCAUCUUGUUACUUGAAACCGAAAUAUGAAGAAAAGUAGUUUUAUUAGAUUCUUGUCGAUAUAUAAGUUAAAGAAAAUUUUUUGGAUAGAUCGAAAUACACUAUUAUGAACCUCUUUUUGGAAUUGCUCAUUUUCAAAUUUGCUUUUCUGAGUCCAUCUUUACAUGGGUACUCAAAAAGACCUGGGUGGUCGUUGAAUUGCGCAUGAUCAAUAAAAAUGAGGGAGCAUCAAUUCGUAAAGGGAGAAAAGGCAAAUCAAAUGAUUAUAUACGUAGAUAAUCAUCCUUGUGAACUUUACGAUUUAUACUACCUCGACGACGAGUCGUCAACUAAAUGUUUACAAUAUUAUAUAAUUUAAAAUAUAAAGUGCGAACCAUAAAAUUUAUUAAAUUUCCACAGCUUUUAAGCAGCCUAUUCCAAAUAAUACUAUUAGAGC